rnacentral:pre_miRNA from 1 species
AGUUGGAAGUGGAGAUCUUGACAUUUUAUGUAGUGCAAAUUGUGCCAGAUCUAACUCUUCCAGCUCA